AUUGUUUUGUUAAUCCAAUAUGGAGAGAAUUAAAUUUAAAGCAUGGUUAUAAUUAUAACCCGAGUAUAAGAAAGGGAAUUAGGUUUUGAUUUUCCAAAAACCAAAACAUUUUCUCCCGAAAUUUUUCUUCUCCUUCUCCCUCGCGACGGCGCCUUCUCUCUCGGAGGAAACCAAGAGGAAGCUAGGUUUUGGGUCUCCGGCGCCGGCGAAGCCUUAUUCCAGCCAUCCUUCACCGUGGGUGGUCAUCCCGACGGAGGAGAACUUGGGAGCACGAAGGGAUCGCCGGGAAAAGUAGCUACCCGAACCCUAGAAGCUUCCUUUCCUUCUUUCCGAUUGUAAGUCCAAGAACCCUCGAUAAAGGAAAAGCUAAGAUAUGAAGGGAGACGACAGGGUGGUGGUGAUGAUGAAUGUGUGUGGUGACUGGACUAUGGAGAGAUCCAGAGGGUUCUAGCAAACCUGCAGGACUUAGUUAUUUAGAGUUUAUGCUCUAAUUCCUUUCUUUAAUUACAGUUAUGAAAAUUAUGAGAUUGUGAUUGAGUUUGAUUCGGAUUGUAGCUUAUUAUGUUCCAUUCUGGGAGAUUGUGUUUAGUUCUUGUUGUUAGACUAGUCUUUUGGUUAUAAUAUGAAUUUAUUA